UUGAGUGCUUGAGAAACCCCUAGUGGCAGGUGACAGCACCACCCGUUUCUGCACAGCUAAAGAGAACACAUAUCAAAGGAAUCACCCUCUUCAAAACAUACCUGUUGAAACAUCAUCCUCUUGAACCGUCCACCCAGGCAAACUACACAGAAUUGAUACCUGGCCAGAGACCCUGCAGCGACAAUUAUAGAAGAUGAAUGGUGCUCCCCCCACCUCGGUAAUGUCUCAGUAUCUUAAAAACAAUUGAUAUUU
rnacentral:lncRNA from 1 species